rnacentral:tmRNA from 1 species
GGGGGUGUACCGGUUUCGACGGGGGUGUGGAGGCGGGAUAAGCGGGCAGCGGCGCCCAACCGCUUUAAUAUGGGCAUCUUUAUAAAUUAAAGAACAACAAUAAACUCGCUUACGCUGCGUAAUUAACGCGGCCGUCCGCCCCGGAAGGACCACGAGCCGGGGUUGGGCGUGACUGAGUGGUGCACGUGUCCGCGGUAAGCUUUGCCCGCGGCAUGUAAAAUGAAGCUACCGGAACCCGGAGAGUGACGGCUUUCGCCGGGGAAAGGGAAUUCUAAAUAACCGUCUGCGCCCGGAGAAAUUCCCGUCAAAGUGCUUUCGGACAGGGGUUCAACUCCCCUCACCUCCACCA